AUCGCUUCUCGGCCUUUUGGCUAAGAUCAAGUGUAGUAUCUGUUCUCACCAAUUUAAUAUCUGAUAUGUCCUAAAAUUUAAAAAAUUUAACAAAAAGAGAUGAUUCAUACAUGCACAGGCAAAUUCUUUCUCUCCCUCUCUCUUCCUUUUUCUUUGUUGCCCCCACAAAUGGCAGCACAGUGGACAAGCC
rnacentral:snRNA from 1 species